rnacentral:lncRNA from 1 species
AUAUAUGUGGUAUAUGAACCAGUGAGGAAAAUACAGAGGUUAUAAUAAAUUAUAUUAGCAAAAAGUGACCCUAAGGAAAAGAAAAUUAAAUUUACUAUUUCACAACAGGAACAAAAAUUAGUCCCACAUACAUUAAAUAUCUAAAUAUGAAAAACAAGCCUCUGAAAUUUUGGAAAAUACAUUUAUGACAUUAGAAUUGAUUAAACAAGACACAUUAAGAACAUUUAAUUUUAAAUAAACAUUUUAAUUUUAAUAUAAAGUUAAAAUGUUAGCCAGAGAAGGUUUUUGCAAUGUAUUAUCCAACAAAGAAAUAAUAUCCUGAAUAUAUAAAGAACUUCAAUCCAUGAGAAAAAGACAAAAAUCACAAUGAUAAAAUGAAUAAAAUACAAGAACAAGCAAUUCCCAAAACCAACUCAAAAUACAAAUGUGAAAAUAUGCUAAUUCUCUCUUGGUAUUAGAGAAAUUCAAAUUAAAAUAACACAGAUAUAUUAUUUUUCUUCUAUCACACUAGCAAAAUUAUUUAACCUAAUAAAGUGUUGGCAAGAAUUUAGGAGAAAUGGUACGCCCACACUCGGCUGAUGGAAAUGAAAACUGUUACAGCCACCUUGGGAUGCAAUCAGCAGUAUCUAGGAAAAACGUAAAUAUACCUCAUAUCUUAUACCUCAGUGAUGACAACCCUGGAGGGAUGACCUCAAAGAGCUCUCACAGACGUGCACAUGAAAACAUGUUUAUUCAUCAAUACUUAUAAUUGUUGGAGGGAGAGAUAUACAAUAUACAACGCUUACGUCCAAAAGUGAUACACAAGAUAAAAUGUUAUGCAGCUAUUAAACAAAACAAACUAAAUCUAGUAUAUUCAUAUAGAUUAGUAAAAAAGGCAUAAAAGUGUACUAUUUACAUGCAUGCAUAUAGCAUUUAUGUGUGUAUAUAUACUCAUUAUGUACAGAUGUUAUGAAUACACAUAUGUAUGAAAAUGUAUGAAAAAAGAAUGGUACUGAUUAACUUGAUAAUGGUUACCUCUGAGACUGGAAAGGGAGAAUGAGAUUGAAGGCUUGAGGGCAGGGUUGAGGUAAACUUUAUCUCUACUUCAUAUAUAAUAAAAUAUGAGAAGAUAUUAACAGUUGUAAUCCUAUAUGAAGACAUUUUUGUCAGAGUAGGUCAACUUUGAAAAAUUGUUAUGUGACAAAUAACCAGUUGUUAAAUUUCACAAAUCUUCGUCAUUAUUCAGCCCAAUGCUUUUAGACUGAAAAAAAGAAGAAAAAAGAAUGCAGUGCCUUACAUUUGAGAUAAUGGAGGAGGAGGGGAA